GUCCCCUUCGUCUAGUGGUGCCUAGGACACCGCCCUUUCACGGCGGUAACAGGGGUUCGAGUCCCCUAGGGGACGCCA
rnacentral:tRNA from 1 species